GAAAGACUUGAAAGGAAGGAUUUAAUAUUGAAUGGAGGUAAAAAUAAGCGCACGAGAGGUGUUAACAAGAAUGGGUUCGACUUGCUUUUCUUACAUAUAAUGGCAAGACAAACCUGAUUGACAAAUCUAUCCAGAAAAACUGGCCAAUUUUAUUACAAGAUCAAUACUUAAAGAAAAUUUUACCUACAAAUCCAAAAGUGAUAUACAAGAAAACAAAUAAUUUGAAAAGUAUUUUAGCCCCCAGUAUACUCCCUAAAAAAGAGGUUAAGAAGGAUCAGUCAAAUUUUUUAUCUGAGAAACCUAAAGGUUUUUUUAAAUGCGGUAGAUGCAGCACAUGUAAGUUUCAAGUGAAUAAGACUACAGAAUUCAAAAGCUCAGUUAUGAAUGAAACUUUUAAAAUCAAGCAUUUUAUAAACUGUCAGAGCCGAUUUGUAGUGUAUUUGAUACAAUGUAAAUGUGGCGUCAUAGGACGCACCAUUAGGAAAUUACAUGUGAGAUUUUUAGAACACUUUAAUGGAAUUAAUAAUAAAAACAUGAAACAUAGUGUGAAACAUAGCAUUAUUUUUCUCUACAUUAUUCUUUUUGCUACAUUUAUUAUUUUUUUCUUUACAUUAAUUUUUAUCUCCAUUCAUCUUUUAAUACCAUUUGGUCCAAUUUGUAUUUUUAAUAUUGUUUGCUAGUUUUCUAUGUUAAUAUAGUUUCCCUCUAUAGCCAGGGCUGUUAACCCGGACCAUGAGAACAUAGAACGCUCCUGGAUAUGGUUACCCUCGUUUGUAUGGCCGGGUACAGUAUUAUUCAUAAAGUUAUUUGCGUUCCAGCUUGGUUGCGCAUGCGCACAUCGGUCGACUGCACGUCAUCACGUAUGGCAGUGCUCUCGCCAGAUCUGCGCAUGCACGGGGUAUGAACGGCACCUAGAUCAGCGGAUUUAAAAGGAGAAGACGCCAGGAGAAGCUCCUGAAGAAGUCUAACCGACGAAACGCGUUGAGCAGCUACGAGAGCCCUGUAUUGGUAGUACAACAGUCUUUUAUCUUGUCAGUACACUGUUGGUUUUUGUGUUGUGCAUUUUUUGCACUUUGGCACUUUUUGCACUGGCACUUUGCUACAUCUGCACAGUCAUCUGUAUAGCUGAAGCUGUUGUCCAUAGGGGCCAUCAUGCCUUAUUUGGCUUUUUAACAUUGUAUUACGAUUUUGCACAAUUUUGUGUGUGCUAUUGCUUAUUUUAUUUUACUUGGAUUUAUUACUAAUAAAGUGGAUUUUUUUCUUACAUCUAUUUGUCCCUCCUAUCCAUGGGAAUCUCCAGAUAGAAUUUAUCUUUGUGAUUGUGGCGCCCUGUUUUUCUCUGAUUUAUUAAUCAGGAUUCUAUGGUUGCUUGGUCGUCGAGUGGAACUGUUUUGGGCAUGGCACUCGCACGAACACACGGUCUCUAUGGAAGUCCCAUACAAACUAUUUCCACAUAUGGUAGAAGAACGGCGUUCAGGAGUUUCAAACAGACGAACGAGAGGAGCAUUCUCCACGAAUCAUCUAUCAAUGGCGGUGUUCAUGAAAAUCCAUCCAAACGGAGAACGGCUCUUGCUGCCAAUUCUGUGGAACUCUUGGUCGGAUACAACCUCGUGGCGAGCCGGUCAAACUUCCACACGGUGCCGUUCGUAAAGUACCGAUCGGAUUUUCGUGAAUUUUGAAUAUGUUACUCACAUCAAUUUAUUUGAAAGAAUGAAAAAAGAAGAAAGAAAGGAGCCUAAACAACUGGAACCUCCAUGGGGGUUAACCCCUAGUUAAUUGGCAAAAGGAAAAAAGAGAAAAGUUGGAGAUUCCAGUUCUAUAUAUAUUGACACCAGUGAAAUACACAUAAAUUAAAACGUCACUUUUAAUAAAUUAAAAUUAAAAAGUCCCUUAAUAAUAAUAAGGGCACUACACACACUCUUAUUAUAAACACGUGUAAAAUCACCACACCUAAAUAUAAAUGGCUGAGUUAACCAAAAAGUGAAUAAAAUGAUGAUUUCUCUAGAGGGAAGAUUUUCCACUUAUGUCUAUAAGAUCUAGUGUGUGAAAUCCUACAAAGUCAUUGUCUACAGAAAUCUAAAUUGUUGUAGGGUGUACCCAGAUAAUACUCUUAUUAAAUCUGAGUUGUUAGUACUUCAAUUUGGAUGAAUUAAACCCCAAUUCCUGAUACAAUGGAUUACUAGAUACUUGUAUGCCUAUGUAUAAACAAUGUAGCUGCUCAAACUACUUGAGCUAAUCUUCCUCGAUACUUCAUAUAACAAUGUUGCUAAUUCCUGUUUACAAAGUUGUCCUUAUAGUAACAGUAUAUCAAGAUCGUGGAUACAGUUUUGAUAGCAUAGCUGUUUAUGUAGUAAAGAAUACUGUAGAACGUGGGAAAAGAGAGGAGGGCACCGUGAUGGACCUUACACCCCUAGUACAGCCUAUAGGGCGAUGUUUUCAAUCAUACGGCUGUCUAACCAGUCCCAUCACAUCCCACGACCAAAAACUAGUGCAACAAGGCUAUAGCAGAACGAUAGAUUGUCUCCCUCAUGUCACUUCCAAAUCUGGACCUAUUCGGCAUCGAGGUUCUAUCUUAAAAUAAUUGCGUCUGAAUAAACGUCCCCCUGCACUUCUAAC